CAGUAACACGUGGCUAACCUACCCUUAGGACGGGGACAACCCCGGGAAACUGGGGCUAAUACCCGAUAGGUGAGGAGGCCUGGAAUGGUUCCUAGUCGAAAAGGCGUUGAAACCAUGCUUUUCGACGUCGCCUAAGGAUGGGGCCGCGCCCGAUCAGGUUGUUGGUGGGGUAACGGCUCACCAAGCCUAUAACCGGUACGGGCCGUGAGAGCGGGAGCCCGGAGAUGGGCACUGAGACAAGGGCCCAGGCCCUACGGGGCGCAGCAGUCGCGAAAACUCCGCAAUGCGCGAAAGCGUGACGGGGCUACCCCGAGUGCCGUCCGCUGAGGAUGGCUUUUCCCCGGUGUAAUGAGCCGGGGGAAUAAGGAGAGGGCAAGUCUGGUGUCAGCCGCCGCGGUAAUACCAGCUCUCCGAGUGGUAGGGAUGAUUAUUGGGCUUAAAGCGUCCGUAGCCGGCUUGGCAAGUCUCCUGUUAAAUUCAGCGACCUAAUCGUUGAGCCGCGGGAGAUACUACUAGGCUAGGAGGCGGGAGAGGCCGACGGUAUUCUCGGGGUAGGGGUGAAAUCCUAUAAUCCCGGGAGGACCACCAGUGGCGAAAGCUGUCGGCUAGAACGCGCUCGACGGUGAGGGACGAAAGCUGGGGGAGCGAACCGGAUUAGAUACCCGGGUAGUCCCAGCUGUAAACGAUGCGGGCUAGG
rnacentral:rRNA from 1 species